UACGGGGGGUGCGAGCGUUGUCCGGAAUCAUUGGGCGUAAAGGGCGCGUAGGUGGCCCGGCAAGCGUGCGGUGAAAGCUCGGGGCUCAACCCCGAGUCGGCCGUGCGAACUGCUAUGGCUCGAGCACUGUAGAGGCAGGCGGAAUUCCGGGUGUAGCGGUGGAAUGCGUAGAGAUCCGGAAGAACACCGGUGGCGAAGGCGGCCUGCUGGGCAGUAGCUGACACUGAGGCGCGACAGCGUGGGGAGCAAACAGG
rnacentral:rRNA from 1 species